AGAGUUUGAUCCUGGCUCAGAUUGAACGCUGGCGGCAGGCUUAACACAUGCAAGUCGAGCGGUAAUAGAGAUAGCUUGCUAUCUGCUGACGAGCGGCGGACGGGUGAGUAAUGCUUGGGAAUAUGCCUUAUGGUGGGGGACAACAGUUGGAAACGACUGCUAAUACCGCAUAACGUCUACGGACCAAAGGGGGGGAUCUUCGGACCUCUCGCCAUUUGAUUAGCCCAAGUGAGAUUAGCUAGUUGGUGAGGUAAAGGCUCACCAAGGCGACGAUCUCUAGCUGGUUUGAGAGGAUGAUCAGCCACACUGGGACUGAGACACGGCCCAGACUCCUACGGGAGGCAGCAGUGGGGAAUUGUUCGCAAUGGGCGAAGGCCUGACGACGCAAUGCCGCGUGUAGGAUGAAGGUCUUCGGAUCGUAAACUACUGUUGCCCGGGACGAAUAGCUCCGACCCAAUACGUCGGAGUCUAACGGUACCGGGUGAGGAAGCCCCGGCUAACU
rnacentral:rRNA from 1 species